AAUCCAUGAUGAUGGCACCUUCUCAAAAAGUCUUUGUAUCUCUCCCAUGCAUCAUAGAGUGUUUCUAAAUCCAUCUGCACAAAAGAAGAGAUAUCAUUACGUAAUU
rfam:Gossypium hirsutum cultivar TM-1 chromosome 16, whole genome shotgun sequence